GAUGAACGCUAGCUACAGGCUUAACACAUGCAAGUCGCGGGGCAGCAUGGGGGUUGCUUGCAAUCCCCGAUGGCGACCGGCGCACGGGUGAGUAACGCGUAUCCAACCUGCCCUUCACCACGGGAUAACCCGGCGAAAGUCGGACUAAUACCGUAUGUUGUCCAUUGACGGCCUCCGAUUUGGACGAAAGGUUUGGCGGUGAAGGAUGGGGAUGCGUCCGAUUAGCUGGACGGCGGGGUGACGGCCCACCGUGGCGACGAUCGGUAGGGGUUCUGAGAGGAAGGUCCCCCACACUGGAACUGAGACACGGUCCAGACUCCUACGGGAGGCAGCAGUGAGGAAUAUUGGUCAAUGGGCGUAAGCCUGAACCAGCCAAGUAGCGUGCAGGAUGACGGCCCUAUGGGUUGUAAGCUGCUUUUAUGCGGGGAUAAAGUGGCCCACGUGUGGGUUUUUGCAGGUACCGCAUGAAUAAGGACCGGCUAAUUCCGUG
rnacentral:rRNA from 1 species